CUGUGAUCAAAGAUGGAGCUGAAAGCAUUCACACUGCUUGUGGGUCACAGAUUCUUGGCCACUCUCCCCUUCAAGAGAUGGAGUCUAAUUCUUCCUUCCGGAAUAGGAAGAAGCUGGGUUCUGGCAUGAUUAGAAACAGAAGGUAUUCCUUAUCCCCCACAAUCCAGCAAGCAUGAUAAUGGGACAAGAAGAAAGGGUUUAGGACCAUGGCAUAAGACUAAACUUAAAAUUGGAGAACUGCUUGGACAAAGAAGGAAGAAGAAGCAAGUUUGGCACCCCCCCCAAAAAAAAUGUCCCUGGGGGACUUGGUGGCUUAGCUUCCUGAGGAACACAUCCACUUCACCUGCCAGCUCAGAGCAUAUUACUCAAAGUUUGUGACAACAAUGAAACAAAUGCUCAGUGGAAGAAUCUGGAGGAGGAGCUACUCUGUCUGGCAAAACUCCCUUCAAACCAGGCUGCUUUGGCAUGGUACCUACGCCACCAUCUUAACUGGAAGUCCC